CACAGAGGGUUCAGAAGUGUAGCUGUGCUUGUGAAGACACAUGCAUUCCAGACUUCCUAAUUAGAUGCUUUCUUGUCACACUUUAAAACCCCUGCACUAUUGGGAAGUGCCUGCCGAAAGGUCAGCCCAUCACUCCUUGGUUACCUUCCGCAGUGACAUGAUAUUUCUUUCACUGGCAACGAAUGAGAAAGGGGUGGUGCAGUCAGAUAUUAAGGGAACCAGAGCUAUCUUCAAGGAGCAGGAAAAGUCAGCCAUUGGCUGCCGUUAUAGCUUGGGAAAUGACUGGACGAGGAAAGUCUAUUUCAAACAGAUGAUUACAAAACCUCACUAAAGCCAGUGCACGCUGGUGUGCGUCACAAAUUGGCCUAGGAACAGCACUGGGGCAUAUACAUUGUGGAAGUCAAGAAGUGAAGAUUACACGUGAUCUGAUUUCCCAUAAAAAGACUCUCUUAGUUCUACACAUUUAGAACCAAGAUCUGUUUUCCUCACCUGCUCUUUUGCCAGAUGCAAAGACCCCUCGGCCACUCCCCAGCCUCUGUGUGUGUGUGUUUAGCAUUUGUGAACCUCUCUGACCUCUUAUCUUUUCAGGCUAAUGAAUUGAAUACCUCUUUGAGGGCAGGAUAGAGAAGAAGGCUGAAUUGGGGAGCCUUGUAAACUGAAGGGAGACAGCUUGGUCUGGAAGGAAAACGGGUAUUAAAAUGUCAA
rnacentral:lncRNA from 10 species